CAGUAGCCGCGGGAAUACGAAGGGGGCUAGCGUUGCUCGGAAUUACUGGGCGUAAAGGGCGCGUAGGCGGACAGUUCAGUCGGGGGUGAAAGCCCGGGGCUCAACCUCGGAAUUGCCUUCGAUACUGGCUGUCUUGAGUAUGAGAGAGGUGUGUGGAACUCCGAGUGUAGAGGUGAAAUUCGUAGAUAUUCGGAAGAACACCAGUGGCGAAGGCGACACACUGGCUCAUUACUGACGCUGAGGCGCGAAAGCGUGGGGAGCAAACAGGAUUAGAUACCCCUGUAGUCCCUGUCUCUUAUAC
rnacentral:rRNA from 1 species